rnacentral:rRNA from 1 species
UGGGGAAUAUUGCACAAUGGAGGAAACUCUGAUGCAGCGACGCCGCGUGAGUGAAGAAGUAUUUCGGUAUGUAAAGCUCUAUCAGCAGGGAAGAAAAAUGAC